CUUGUACUCCGUUCCAGUUGUUCUGAUUUGUUUGGAAUCAUUGGUGAUGAUAUGGUACGUUUCGCUGUCCUAAAAGAACUAUUGAACGAGUAUUAUUGUUAAUAAACUCACUGAUAAAUUAAUCAUUAAUAAAUAAUUCGUGUUUUAUGUUUGGUGUAUGGUGUGGCGGUGGUAUUAUAUAAAUAUGAGUAGCUUAUAUUUGUCAACGGUGUUUUAAAAGCCAGGGAGAUAUCAAAAUAUUAAGCGCAAGCCAGAGUAAACGAAGAAGAUACUGACAAAAUAUCCGAGGCGUCAAAUACCCAUCGGGCAAUCGCAUUCACAUCUAGGAGUAUGAGACAGUCAGGAGCCUACGGCAUGGAGACUUUUUUUUUAAAGUGACUCGUCUCUCCCCUCUACCACUGGCUUAUUUUUCAAUAUUUUUUUAUGAAAAUUUAGCAGAAUAUUCUUGAAAUGAUGCUUAAUAAUGUCACUAAUUUUAAGGGGGAUAGCUACUGUGAAAUUUCAAAAAACAAAAAUUUUUUUUUUUUAUUAAAUCAAAGUUUAUAUGUUCAAAAAUAUGUAUCUAGAGUUUUAAAUGAAAAUUCCGAAUAUUUUUAAAGUUAUAGUCAUUUUUUUGACAGCACAUCAACUGACCGUUGCAUCGACUAAAAACUUUAAACGCGUUUUUCUCGAAACUACUUUUUUUGAACUGGUGGCAUCUGUAAUUUUCAUAAAUAUCAACCGAUUCGCAACUUUUUUUUUUUCGUAUUCGUCUAUUCAGUAGCUAAAGUUGCGCGUAGGGGAUUUUGAAAAUUUUGAUUUUUAAGAUUUUUUAGGGCUGUUUGAAUCCAAAAAAAUGAGAAAAAAUUUUUAAUAUGUCGCCAUUUUUUUUCAAAUCGAAAUUUUCAAAAUCCCCUACGUGGAACGAUAAUCACAUGCAUACAGAUUACAACGCCGUUUGGUUUUUUUGUUUCUGAUAAUCCGUUUUUGAGUUAGAGAUGACACCGUGGUGGGGGAAAUUUUUUUGGUGCUCCACAAAAAUGCUCAUAACUUUGUAACAACAUGAUAUUUUUCAAUAAAAAUUUAGGAGAAUUAUCUUCAAUGUAUACUUUAUAAAACAAAAAAAAACCGAUCCCCAUAUUCUUUUAUUAUUCCAGUCAAAAAAAUUCCCGAAAAUCACCUAUUUUUUCGAUCCUCACAGUGGCUAUCCCCCUUAAGAAGUUUAAUUACGAAGGUACUCUGAAAAAAAAAAUCACAAAAAAAUCCUUUUUUUUUUUUUGUAUCUCAGACCCUUUCCUCCUUUUACUGUAAUUUGUAUUACUGUGGAAUAAAUUAUUGGU